GGUGCAUCAGUUCAGGAGGAGGACCAUGCAUUAUCACACCACCCAGAAUAAAAAAGAUGGAUUUCCAGAUGCAAGGGUUUACCCAGCAAUAUUCAGUAGAACUACAGUGAUGAAAACACAGUACGGAUAAGAAGAUUUUAAAAUUCAGUCAACAACAUGAUUGCUGUCUUCUGUCUGGCCCUCAAUGUCAUACUGGUUUCAAGUUCCUCUCUCGGUGACAAAGUCCACCAGACUCCAGCUAGUGUGUACAACAACCAAGGAAAAACAGCCAAAAUCCACUGUUCACACAGUAUUGACGGCUACGACCGAAUCCUCUGGUACAAGCAAUCGGACGGACAACUGCAGUUCCUGGGAUACAUGUUAGCAACCACUGGAGGAAACCCAGAGACUGGCCUGGGUGUGAAGAUAGAAGGGAGUGCAAACAAAGACCAGACCUGCACAUUAACAAUAGAAGAGCUCAGCCUGAGCAGCAGUGCAGUGUACUACUGUGCUGCUAGUUUACACAGUGCUGCGUAUCACUGCUCCUCAGUACAAAAACCUCCUCACAGCUGUGCUCCUUCCUCAGUCUAUCAUUACUCAGAUCUGUAUGCUGAGCCAGUGGUGUGUUAAAGGUAGUUACUGUGAGUUAUAUGCACAAUGACACCACCCACCUAACAACUUGGGAGGGUUUACUCAAAGAGGAGGCUGGAA